rnacentral:miRNA from 1 species
GCAGACACAUUCCAGCCAAUCAGCAGCAGACCCUCCCUCCCAGACCCUCCCACCUCCUGGACAGCAUUCAUUUUGAAGCUUCAUUCUUAGUGAGCUGUCCAGGAGGUGGGAGGGUCUGGGAGGGAGGGUCUGCUGCUGAUUGGCUGGAAUGUGUCCG